rfam:Picea glauca, whole genome shotgun sequence.
UUUACCUUGGGCACCAUCCUUGGAAUGAGGGAAAGUGCCCGGUGGGUUUCCUCGGGAUA